UAGUGGCGGACGGGUGAGUAACGCGUGAGUAACCUGCCUUCAAGAGGGGGAUAACAUUCUGAAAAGAAUGCUAAUACCGCAUGACAUAUCGGAACCACAUGGUUCUGAUAUCAAAGAUUUUAUCGCUUGAAGAUGGACUCGCGUCCGAUUAGUUAGUUGGUGAGGUAACGGCUCACCAAGACCGCGAUCGGUAGCCGGACUGAGAGGUUGAACGGCCACAUUGGGACUGAGACACGGCCCAGACUCCUACGGGAGGCAGCAGUGGGGGAUAUUGCGCAAUGGGGGCAACCCUGACGCAGCAACGCCGCGUGAAGGAUGAAGGUUUUCGGAUUGUAAACUUCUUUUAUUAAGGACGAAACUUGACGGUACUUAAUGAAUAAGCUCCGGCUAACUACGUGCCAGCAGCCGCGGUAAUACGUAGGGAGCAAGCGUUGUCCGGAUUUACUGGGUGUAAAGGGUGCGUAGGCGGCUUUGCAAGUCAGAUGUGAAAUCUAUGGGCUCAACCCAUAAACUGCAUUUGAAACUGUAGAGCUUGAGUGAAGUAGAGGCAGGCGGAAUUCCCCGUGUAGCGGUGAAAUGCGUAGAGAUGGGGAGGAACACCAGUGGCGAAGGCGGCCUGCUGGGCUUUAACUGACGCUGAGGCACGAAAGCGUGGGUAGCAAACAGGAUUAGAUACCCUGGUAGUCCACGCUGUAAACGAUGAUUACUAGGUGUGGGGGGUCUGACCCCUUCCGUGCCGGAGUUAACACAAUAAGUAAUCCACCUGGGGAGUACGCCGGCA
rnacentral:rRNA from 1 species